rnacentral:rRNA from 1 species
AGCGAACGCUGGCGGCAGGCCUAACACAUGCAAGUCGAACGAACCUUUCGGGGUUAGUGGCGGACGGGUGAGUAACACGUGGGAACGUGCCUUUAGGUUCGGAAUAACUCAGGGAAACUUGUGCUAAUACCGAAUGUGCCUUUCGGGGGAAAGAUUUAUCGCCUUUAGAGCGGCCCGCGUCUGAUUAGCUAGUUGGUUGAGGUAAUGGCUCACCAAGGCGACGAUCAGUAGCUGGUCUGAGAGGAUGAUCAGCCACAUUGGGACUGAGACACGGCCCAAACUCCUACGGGAGGCAGCAGUGGGGAAUCUUGCGCAAUGGGCGAAAGCCUGACGCAGCCAUGCCGCGUGAAUGAUGAAGGUCUUAGGAUUGUAAAAUUCUUUCACCGGGGACGAUAAUGACGGUACCCGGAGAAGAAGCCCCGGCUAACUUCGUG